CCGGUUGAUCCCGCCGGACCUGACUGCUAUCGGAUUGAUACUAAGCCAUGCGAGUCAUUGUAGUAAUACAAGGCAGACGGCUCAGUAACGCGUAGUCAACCUACCCUAUGGACGGGAAUAACCUCGGGAAACUGAGAAUAAUGCCCGAUAGAACAUUAUGCCUGGAAUGGUUUAUGUUCCAAAUGAUUUAUCGCACGUAGGAUGGGACUGCGGCCUAUCAGUUUGUUGGUGAGGUAAUGGCCCACCAAUGACUAUUACAGGUACGGCGCUCUGAGAGGAGUAGCCCGGAGAUGGGUACUGAGACACGGACCCAGGCCCUAUGGGGCGCAGCAGGCGAGAAAACUUUGCACAUGUGCGAAAGCACGACAAGGUUAAUUCACGAGUGGUCUUCUGCUAAAGGAACCUUAUAAGUCCGUCCUAAAAACACCGAUGAAUAACGGGUGGGCAAGUUACUGGUGAUCAGACCGCCCAAGGUAAAACAGACACCUCAAGAUUG
rnacentral:rRNA from 1 species